UUACACAUGCAAGUCGAGGGGUAUAGUUCUUCGGAGCUAGAGACCGGCGCACGGGUGCGUAACGCGUAUGCAAUCUACCUUUUACAGAGGGAUAGCCCAGAGAAAUUUGGAUUAAUACCUCAUAGUAUGUGAGAAUCGCAUGGUUUUCACAUUAAAGUCACAACGGUAAAAGAUGAGCAUGCGUCCCAUUAGCUAGAUGGUAAGGUAACGGCUUGCCAUGGCAACGAUGGGUAGGGGUCCUGAGAGGGAGAUCCCCCACACUGGUACUGAGACACGGACCAGACUCCUACGGGAGGCAGCAGUGAGGAAUAUUGGACAAUGGGCGCAAGCCUGAUCCAGCCAUGCCGCGUGCAGGAUGACGGUCCUAUGGAUUGUAAACUGCUUUUGUACAGGAAGAAACACUCCCUCGUGAGGGAGCUUGACGGUACUGUAAGAAUAAGGAUCGGCUAACUCCGUGCCAGCAGCCGCGGUAAUACGGAGGAUCCAAGCGUUAUCCGGAAUCAUUGGGUUUAAAGGGUCCGUAGGCGGUUUAAUAAGUCAGUGGUGAAAGCCCAUCGCUCAACGGUGGAACGGCCAUUGAUACUGUUAAACUUGAAUUAUUAGGAAGUAACUAGAAUAUGUAGUGUAGCGGUGAAAUGCUUAGAGAUUACAUGGAAUACCAAUUGCGAAGGCAGGUUACUACUAAUGGAUUGACGCUGAUGGACGAAAGCGUGGGUAGCGAACAGGAUUAGAUACCCUGGUAGUCCACGCCGUAAACGAUGGAUACUAGCUGUUGGGAGCAAUCUCAGUGGCUAAGCGAAAGUGAUAAGUAUCCCACCUGGGGAGUACGUUCGCAAGAAUGAAACUCAAAGGAAUUGACGGGGGCCCGCACAAGCGGUGGAGCAUGUGGUUUAAUUCGAUGAUACGCGAGGAACCUUACCAGGCUUAAAUGUAGUUUGACCGAUUUGGAAACAGAUCUUUU
rnacentral:rRNA from 1 species